CCUCCCUGGUGACGUUCUUCCGUUCCCUGGAGCUGCUGGACGGUACGAUGGAGGAUUAUGUGGAGGGCAAUGUGCUCAACUGUCGGAAAUGGAAUGAACAAUUCAAACUGAUGGAGGAGAUCAAGCUGCUCCAGGAGGCUGCAAAUCUGUACACCGUGCAGCCCGACGAGCAAUUUGGGGCCUGGUUCCAGGCCGUGGAGCCCCUGAGCAAGGAGGAGAG